rnacentral:tRNA from 1 species
AAUAAAGUAAGCUAAACUAAGCUAAUGGGCUCAUACCCCACCGAUAGAGACUACUCUCUUUAUUA